rnacentral:rRNA from 1 species
AACGAACGCUGGCGGCGUGGAUAAGACAUGCAAGUCGAGCGGGAACUUUCGCUGUAGCAAUACAGUGAAAGUUCUAGCGGCGAACGGGUGCGUAACACGUGGACAAUCUGCCUUAAAGUGGGGGAUAGCUCGGCGAAAGCCGAAUUAAUACCGCAUGUGAUGAGAGACGACAUCGUCUUGAAAUCAAAGCCGGGGCAACCUGGCGCUUUUCGAGGAGUCCGCGGCCUAUCAGCUAGUUGGUGAGGUAACGGCCCACCAAGGCUAUGACGGGUAGCUGGUCUGAGAGGACGACCAGUCACACUGGAACUGAGACACGGUCCAGACACCGUACGGGUGGCAGCAGUCGAGUAAUUUUUGACAAGUA